AGAGUUUGAUCCUGGCUCAGGACGAACGCUGGCGGCGUGCUUAACACAUGCAAGUCGAGCGAGCCUUCGGGUUAGCGGCGAACGGGUGAGUAACACGUGAGCAACCUGCCUUCCGCUCUGGGAUAGCCUCCGGAAACGGGGAUUAAUACCGGAUAGGACUUGUGCCCUCAUGGGUGCGGGUGGAAAGUUUUUCGGCGGGAGAGGGGCUCGCGGCCUAUCAGCUUGUUGGGGGGGUGACGGCCCACCAAGGCGACGACGGGUAGCCGGCCUGAGAGGGCGACCGGCCACACUGGGACUGAGACACGGCCCAGACUCCUGCGGGAGGCAGCAGUGGGGAAUAUUGCGCAAUGGGCGGAAGCCUGACGCAGCGACGCCGCGUGGGGGAUGACGGCCUUCGGGUUGUAAACCUCUUUCAGCAGGGGCGAAUCUGACGGUACCUGCAUAAGAAGCGCCGGCUAACUACGUGCCAGCAGCCGCGGUAAUACGUAGGGCGCGAGCGUUGUCCGGAAUUAUUGGGCGUAAAGAGCUCGUAUGCGGCUUGUCGCGUCUGCUGUGAAAUCUCGGGGCUUAACCCCGGGCGUGCAUUGGAUACGGGCAGGCUGGAGGCAGGCAGGGGAGAACGGAAUUCCCGGUGUAGCGGUGAAAUGCGCAGAUAUCGGGAGGAACACCGGUGGCGAAGGCGGUUCUCUGGGCCUGUUC
rnacentral:rRNA from 1 species